AAGGCAAAAGACAACAGGCAUGGAAGUCUACAGUAGUAUCUGGCAAUUAAAGAACAUAAAGUCUGGGUUUAAAAAGUCUCUCAAUAAUCAGUCAUAAUCCGAACCUGGUAAGCAGUACAAAUUAAGGCCGCCAUCUAGUGGAGAACAGAAUAUAAUACCAAAACAGAACAAAGGGUUCUAUCUAGUGGAGAGAAAAAGUCAUU